UACAGAGGGUGCGAGCGUUAAUCGGAAUUACUGGGCGUAAAGAGCGCGUAGGCGGUCAUGUAAGUCAGGUGUGAAAGACCUUAGCUUAACUAAGGAACUGCAUUUGAUACUGCAUAACUAGAGUAUGGUAGAGGAAAGUGGAAUUUCCGGUGUAGCGGUGAAAUGCGUAGAUACCGGAAGGAACACCAGUGGCGAAGGCGCUUCUGGACCAAUACUGACGCUGAGCGCGAAAGCGUGGGGAGCAAACAGG
rnacentral:rRNA from 1 species